CUUCUUUCGUUUUCGUCGUGCUUGCCUCUCUUUCUCUUAUAAUACACAGCCAUUGGAUUCAUCGCUGCAAUUGAAUCUUCACCCAGAUUUCAAGCAAUUUCCAGACAAUCAAUGAGGGAGAUGAAGAAUUGCAGUGGUAUAGAAAGGAAUUGGGACCAACGAAUGAGGCGAAACAUGUAACUGUUAUGGAAGCAGUCACAUCAAUUCAACCAAAUAGAAUUUGCUCCCUCCUGUAUCGUUAUCAUCCAACUCUCCUUGAAACCUAGCUUCACGCUCUCUUUCUGGCUGCAAGAAAAUCACAAGUCAGAAAUUCUGGAGACCCCCAUAGUUAUAGUACAAGUUUUUAGUGAUUUUUUCUUGGACAAAAGAUAGAGAUAUACUGAAGAAGAAGCAGUCAGAAAGUAAGCAAAUUACAACAAUCCAAAAGCAGAAAGGAGUUAGCUACAGAACAGCCUCAAGAGUCAAGACCCCCCAAAAACCAAAAACGUUUAUAAUUCUAGGAACACUUGAUAACAAAAGAUCUCAGCCCCAAAUGUUUUUUGGAGUGGUAUUUUUGAUUUAUUAUCUUCUAAAUGAAAUUGUUUGAAUGUCCAUAUUUUUCGGAAAAUGAAAAUGAAAAAUGCAUAUGACAGAGAUAUUUGUUUGCCGACGUGUACUCCACUUGUGAUUUUUAAGAAGGUUAUGAAUGUGAUCCAGCCAGAGGCCCGGAUCAUAG